rnacentral:rRNA from 1 species
UACGUAGGGGGCCAGCGUUGUCCGGAUUCAUUGGGCGUAAAGCGCGUGUAGGCGGCCGGGUAGGUCCGAUGUGAAAUCUGGAGGCUCAACCUCCAGCGGUCAUUGGAAACCAUCUGGCUAGAGUCCGGAAGAGGAGAGUGGAAUUCCUGGUGUAGCGGUGAAAUGCGCAGAUAUCAGGAAGAACACCAAUGGCGAAGGCAGCUCUCUGGGACGGUACUGACGCUGAGACGCGAAAGCGUGGGGAGCGAACAGG